GUCCUCACAUGCAGCUCAUGACGUACCUUUAUUUCUAACACAUUUUCUAUAAUAACCCUAAUACACGGAGCUGCCACUAAAACUCACAGCUCACACCGACUUCAGGGUCACCAGGGAUUCGUUUUCUUUCUGGUUUGUGACGGUGCCUUACCAAAUCUUCGUAACUCCCAGGGUGUUCCUUUCCAGUCCAAUCUAUCCUUUUGGGUAACAGCUGGAAAUGGAAAACAUUGUUAUCCGACUUGAAUUCUAGGAAGGUCAAAGAGCAGGAACUGGAGAUCGUCUUCAGCUGGUUCGGAUCGGAGAGGAUGGUGUGGCUUAGCUAGGAAUAGAAGAUAACGUUGUCGCUCUGAGCGGCUGUGAGAUCAAACGUCUCAGCUGGAGAUAAUAAUUUGUAGUUUAUAUUGUAAGUAGAUACGCAGACAUGAGGUAAAUCUGUGUAACCUGUUCAUAUACAUGGCAAAAACAAGUUUCUGUACUGAGAUAAGUUGAGAGAUGAAACAUCACCGUCUUGGAAUACAAGUCUUUAUGUAUAUUAUACUGUAUUCUGCCAAAAUAUUAUCACUGUGUUAAAUCUGACAUGUGGAGAUACCCGAGAAGUCAAAUUAAAGAAAUAAAUAAUGAAUUAAAGACCA